CAGCAGCCGCGGUAAUACCGGCGGCCCGAGUGGUGGCCGCUAUUAUUGGGCUUAAAGCGUCCGUAGCCGGGUUGGGAAGUCCUCCGGGAAAUCUGGCCGCUUAACGGUCAGAAUGCCGGAGGAUACUCCCAGCCUAGGGAGCGGGAGAGGCCGAGGGUAUUCCCGGAGUAGGGGUGAAAUCCUAUAAUCCCGGGAGGACCACCUGUGGCGAAGGCGCUCGGCUGGAACGCGUCCGACGGUGAGGGACGAAGGCCAGGGGAGCAAACCGGAUUAGAUACCCGGGUAGUCCUGGCUGUAAACGAUGCGGACUUUGUGUCGGACAAGCUAUGAGCUUGUCCGGUGCCGGAGGGAAACCGUUAAGUCCGCCGCCUGGGGAGUACGGCCGCAAGGCUGAAACUUAAAGGAAUUGGCGGG
rnacentral:rRNA from 1 species